UUUUAUUCGGUAUUUGGUAUGGGGGAUGCGUCUGAUUAGCUUGUUUGGCGGGUAAAGGCCCACCAAGGCAACGAUCAGUAGGGGUUCUGAGAGGAAGGUCCCCCACAUUGGAACUGAGACACGGUCCAAACUCCUACGGGAGGCAGCAGUGAGGAAUAUUGGUCAAUGGGCGAGAGCCUGAACCAGCCAAGUAGCGUGCAGGAUGACGGCCCUAUGGGUUGUAAACUGCUUUUAUAUGGGAAUAAAGUGAGGGACGUGUCCCUUAUUGCAUGUACCAUACGAAUAAGGACCGGCUAAUUCCGUGCCAGCAGCCGCGGUAAU
rnacentral:rRNA from 1 species